GAACCCUAACGCUUUUCGUUUUGCAUUCGCACCUCAAACGGGAUUCCUCCGUUUCUCUGCAAUUCAAUUCUCUCCCUUUCCACAGCACCAAUUUUCAGAGCUUAAAUCAAAGAGAUUUUAACCUUCCGUUUCUUAAGAAAAUUUUCCGUCGCAGAUAUGCGCGGGACUGAGGUUGCUUGUUGAUACCUCGAAUUAAAUCACAUGGAAAGAGAGCGAACCCGGAAACGGCGUCGUCUUGCGUGGGACGUAGCUCCUCCACCAGUGCCUGAGGCGCAAAGGGCUCUGGUGGUGGCAGGUGAUGAUGGAAUCGAAAGAAAGCAUGUUUCACCUCCAAGAAGGGAUGACGAUCGCGAUGGCCAUUAUGUCUUUAUUCUCGGCGAAAAUCUCACUCCUAGAUAUAAAAUCCUCAGCAAGAUGGGUGAAGGUUAGCGGUCAAGUGCCUUCUGAAUACAAGAUUUUAAUUUUUAUGUCACUGUGCUUGUGUCAUUCAGCAUAUUGCUAGUGCUGUAGGCACAUUUGGUCGAGUUUUGGAAUGUUGGGACCGCCAAACAAGAGAAUAUGUGGCUAUCAAGGUAGUUAGAAGCAUACGGAAGUAUCGUGAUGCAGCAAUGCUUGAGGUUGACGUGCUUCAACAUCUAGCAAAGAAUGAUAGAGGAAGCUCACGGUGUGUGCAGAUCCGAAAUUGGUUUGAUUACCGAAAUCACAUCUGCAUUGUCUUUGAGAAGCUUGGACCAAGCUUAUUUGAUUUUCUAAAGAGAAAUAAAUACUGCCCAUUCCCUGUGGAUCUUGUUCGGGAAUUUGGACGACAGCUUUUGGAAUCUGUAGCAUAUAUGCAUGAACUACGCCUAAUCCACACUGACCUGAAGCCAGAAAAUAUACUUCUUGUUUCUUCUGAAUAUGUAAAGCUUCCUAGCUAGGGUUUCCUCAGAUGAGACACAGUUCAGGUGCUUGCCCAAGUCUAGUGCUAUUAAGCUGAUUGAUUUUGGUAGUACUGCAUUUGAUAAUCAGAACCAUAGCUCCAUUGUUUCUACAAGGCAUUACAGAGCCCCUGAGAUAAUUCUAGGUCUAGGAUGGUCAUACCCAUGUGACUUAUGGAGUGUUGGAUGUAUUCUCAUUGAACUUUGCUCGGGUGAAGCCUUGUUUCAGACUCAUGAAAACUUGGAGCACCUUGCAAUGAUGGAGAGAGUUUUGGGACCUCUUCCGGAGCACAUGGUUCGAAGGUCCAACAAGGGCGCAGACAAGUAUUUCAAGCGUGGAUCACGACUAAGAUGGCCCGAAGGAGCUGUUUCAAGGGAGAGUAUCAAUGCAGUGAAGAAGCUUGGUCAUCUUAAGGAUAUUGUAUCACGACAUGUGGAGUCCUCAAGGUCCUCUUUCACUGACUUGUUAGAUGGCUUAUUAACAUAUGAUCCGACCAAACGUCUAACAGCUCACCAAGCCCUUGAUCACCCCUUCUUUAGGAAUCCAACUUAAGAAGCCAGAUUGCCCUUCUGGAAUAAUUCCCAUUUUAAAUAGUCAGUUGCACAGGCUAUAACUUUGUUUUAAAUGUAUGUAAUCUAUUAUUAUUUAUUUAUAGCAGUCGUUCAAUCGCCUU